rnacentral:misc_RNA from 1 species
GAUGAAGAACGCAGCGAAAUGCGAUAAGUAAUGUGAAUUGCAGAAUUCAGUGAAUCAUCGAAUCUUUGAACGCACAUUGCGCCCGCUAGUAUUCUGGCGGGCAUGCCUGUCCGAGCGUCAUUUCAACCCUCAAGCCCCCGGGCUUGGUGUUGGGAUCGGCGAGCCUCCGCGCCCGCCGUCCCCUAAAUCUAGUGGCGGUCUCGCUGUAGCUUCCUCUGCGUAGUAGCACACCUCGCACUGGGAAACAGCGCGGCCACGCCGUUAAACCCCCAACUUCUGAACGUUUGACCUCGGAUCAGGUAGGAAUACCCGCUGAACUUAAGCAUAUCAAUAAGCGGAGGA